CUAGUGAUCUUAGCCAGUGCAGUAGGGAAAACAAAAAAAGUGGAGGGAUGGAACAAAGUCAGGAAAGGAAAAUAAAAUUGUCUUUAUUUGCAGACAACAUGGUAUAUACAUGUUUGCAAAAGUAUUUUUAAAAAUCUACUAGACCUAAUUGAGUUUCACAAAAUAUCUAAAUGAGAUACACUGUAUAUACAGAUGGAAAUAUUCAGUAUUGAUUGUUAAGAUAACACUUUUCCUCAAAUUGAUCUAUAUGUUCAAUCCAGUCAUCAACAGACAUUUAUGUGGAAUUUGACAAGCUGAUUCAAAUCUUAUAUGGAAAUGCAGAAGACCUAGAGAACAAAACACUCAAGAAGACUCACAUUACUUGAUUUCUCAGCUUAUUAUAAAGCUAGAGUAAUCAAGGAUGUGGUAUUGGCAUAAGAAUAGGUCAAUGGAUCAGUAUAGUCUAGACACAUAUGGACAAUAAAUUUUUUUAGCAGUUUAAGAAAUCUUUAUUUAACUGUUGAGUCUCCUUUUUCAUUUGUUCAUUUUUUAAUUCAUGCUCAGGAAGUUACUUCUGUAUCCUUAACAAAUCACAUCUCCUCCCUCUCUCCUACCCAGAAAUCCUCCUUCUUCCCUUAGAAUUUCUGAUGCUGGAGAGAUCUGAGAGUUCUCGGAAAAUGUUUAAAGUCACCAGCCAAGACUGGAGCAUGCAGGUGGUACUAAUAGGCGCUGGCUCCAGAUUUUGUUGAGAUGAUCAAGAGGAAGCCUAAUCCAAUGCCUCAUAUUGCUUUGGGAUUCCUUAUCGAAGGAGAUCCUUGGAGAGCUCCCAGAUGUGGCCGUCUGAAGAGUGUCACAUUGUCUACAGUUGUACCUGCCAGAGAAAUCCUCCUUCUUCCCUUAGAAUUUCUGAUGCUGGAGAGAUCUGAGAGUUCUCGGAAAAUGUUUAAAGUCACCAGCCAAGACUGGAGCAUGCAGGUGGUACUAAUAGGCGCUGGCUCCAGAUUUUGUUGA
rnacentral:lncRNA from 1 species